rfam:Ictidomys tridecemlineatus contig054402, whole genome shotgun sequence.
GGGGCUGUAGCUCAGUGUUAGAGCACUUGCCUUGCAGGCAUGAGGCACUGGGUUCAAUCCUUAGCACCCCUU